rnacentral:lncRNA from 1 species
CCUGGACCUGGGUGUGGCAUGGUGAUGACACUGUCACUCCUGGAUCCUGGGUGUCCGGCAUGGUGAUGACACUGUCACUCCUGGACUCUGGGUGUCCGGCAUGGUGAUGACACUGUCACUCCUGGACUCUGGGUGUGUGGCAUGGUGAUGACACUGUCACUCCGGCCUCCUGGACUCUGGGUGUCCGGCAUGGUGAUGACACUGUCACUCCUGGAUCCUGGGUGUGUGGCAUGGUGAUGACACUGUCACUCCUGGAUCCUGGACUCUGGGUGUCCGGCAUGGUGAUGACACUGUCACUCCUGGACUCUGGGUGUGUGGCAUGGUGAUGACACUGUCACUCCUGGACUCUGGGUGUCCGGCAUGGUGAUGACACUGUCACUCCUGGACUCUGGGUGUCCGGCAUGGUGAUGACACUGUCACUCCUGGACCCUGGGUGUCCGGCAUGGUGAUGACACUGUCACUCCUGGACCUGGGUGUGGCAUGGUGAUGACACUGUCACUCCUGGAUCCUGGGUGUGGCAUGGUGAUGACACUGUCACUCCUGGAUCCUGGGUGUGUGGCAUGGUGAUGACACUGUCACUCCUGGAUCCUGGGUGUGUGGCAUGGUGAUGACACUGUCACUCCUGGAUCCUGGGUGUCCGGCAUGGUGAUGACACUGUCACUCCUGGACUCUGGGUGUCCGGCAUGGUGAUGACACUGUCACUC